rnacentral:tRNA from 7 species
GGCGGAUGUAGCCAAGUGGAUAAAG